UGUAAAGUAUUUGUAGAAAAUUGAGCGAAGGUAAAGAAUACGGAUACCACCCGUUUUCGGCGUAAUAAAAACCCUAACCCGAAACACUGGGUGUACGUAUUCCUCACUUAUAGAGCUUACAACUCUGUAGUUAUGCCAGAUAUUUAUGGAAAAUUUCAUUAAAAAUGACCCAUUUUUGUAAAAGUUAUGAGUAAAGAAAGCUGCCUCGUGUUUUGGAGACAGUGCGUGGCGUUCGAUCAUAUAAUAACAUAUAUAAUAUAUAAUUAUAUGCAAAUAUCCAUACAUGUAUGUACAUACUGACAUCUAUAUGUAUACAUACAUGCAUAUAUGGGUACAGGACAUCACAGAAAACGUUAAACACAAUGAGAAACGAAAACAUAAAGACGAGGACAAAAAACGAACUUUUUUCGAACAACGAAAAAAACAGAAACGAGACAUGCAUCUCAUUAAUAGACCUGUGUGAUGGCUGGCCGUUCCUAUUAUUCAUUUGAUUCUGGACUGAUCUCAUUGGUACACUUGAAAUUGCUGGAGAAGUGAAAUAUUACCGACGUGAUUUGGAAGUAGAGCUUAAGCAGGGUUAUAAAGCGAUACCAACACUAAAUGAAAAAAAACAUACCAUAACUAUUAAGUAUGAAAAGAAAUAACCCAGCUCACAGUAUUUCAAUGGUCUUUGGCUUGUCUUUAAACAUAUUCACUCUAAAACUGCUGAAGAUGAAGAACAAAAUAUAUUACCUGCCUUGAAGGAUUUAGUUGAACAACUGAGCAUCAAUAUUAUUCUGAAAUCUCGUAAUUAUGCUUUUCGUAUCUUUCGUUGAACGACAAAGCUAUGGGGACAUAAAUAAAUGAAUGCCAGUUGUUGAGCAAUAUGGAGGCAUAUCAAGGAGACAAAGACACACGCAUGCAUACAUGGUCUCAGGCGGACCAGGGCUUUCUGAGUGGAUUUGGUAGAGGGAAACAAAGAAACUCGUAUAUCCACUCAGAACUAAACUAAUAGCUUAGGAGUGAAAUUUAGGAUUUCUUUGUUUUCUGUGAAUCGAUUUUGAUGAAACUUUUUCCCAGCUAGUCUGCACACUAUGGCAAAAUCAUUAUGUUUUCAUUAUUCUAUGUAACCUUCUUUUUUUAUUUCAGAUUCUUCAGUUUUGGGGUAAACCAUGCUAGUAGCUUUCGAAUGAAAAUAGCCCAUCUAGACUUUUUUUUUUUCCUUCAGAUAAUGAAGGGUAAUGGUACCAGUGGCAGCUCAUGUAUAGGCACUGCAGCACCCACUAAUUUCCACUCGAUAUUAUCGAUAACGUUCAAUAUAAUGAGUCUUUUUUUCUUGAAUUCUUUCUUUAUACUUGUACAUUAUAUAAUCCUUAAGCUUAAUGUCAGUAGCCAUCCCUUAGUUUAUGAAAAAAAUAUAAAAAUCCUUGUAUAGAACUAUGCACUUUACAGUUCCAGCGACACAGUGUUUGGCUGUUGUGUGCAUGCUCACAUGUCUGAGAUAGGAAGCUUCAUGCUAGAGAGAGAAAGCACUGUCGUUCACGCAGUGCUGAUGAUGACUCAGCAUGUUUUGUACUUAAAAACAUGUUUAUAUUCUUGAAUGUGAUAAUUAGAUGAUUAUCCUGCUUCCAGCUUUAGUGUUACUGCCAGGAUUUGAAAAAUAGGGCAGAUUUUCCUUCCUUAUUUUGUGAUUUAGAGGGGGGGGGACUUUUGGAAAACGGUGGAAUUCAUGGUGGUUUUCAGUGAACAAAUUAAACACGCUGCCUGGCAGUGGCUAAAACGCAAACCAACCCUGUUUAUGUAUACAUAUUCUUUUUAUAUGUUUGUUUCUUUUUACACAAUAUUAAACAACAGCUAAACAUUUUCUGAAGCAGCACCCCCACUAAUUUUAUCUAUGAGCCACCCUUGAAUGGUACAUAUUAAGCAUACAUUGAGUAUAUAUUUAACAGAAAACCAUAAUAAUAUUAUAACAUUUAUUGACAUAAUGAAUUAUUUGGCCACAUGCGUGCCAUUUCAACAGAUAACUUCAAAAUCCCUUUAGUCAUAGAAUCUGUCAAUUUCUUAAUAGUAGCAGGUUGGACUGCCUCUGCUGCAGCUUCCAUGGUCGCCCAUAAGACAUCUUUCUAUGUAAAUUGGCAUCCAUCAGUAUAAACAUCUUGUUUAAUGAUGGACCAAAGAUUUUCGAUAGGGUUGAGAUCCAUGGAUGCUGGCAAAUACAUCAUCAACCUUUCACCUUUCAUGAUGAGAAGCACCUUCAGCACUUUCCUUGAUGAUUACAGACUUUUCUUCAUCGUGAAGGCCUCUUCUACAUCCCAUUGUUCUUUGAGGGGGAGAGAUGCUAAUAGUGUGGUUCACCCCAAAACUGAAGAAUCUGAAAUAAUAGAGAAAGGAUAUUACAUAGAAUAAUGAAAACAUAACAAUGGUGUUGCCAUAGUGUGCAAACCAACUGGGAAAAGUUUUAUCAAAAUUGCUUCUCAGAAAACCGAGAAAUCCUGAAUUUCACUCUUAAACUCAACCCUGGCUUCUCAUUCCCAAACUACUUUUUUGUUGAUAUUAUGUAUUCAAAGCACUGCCUGGAAUUCAUCAUCAUCAUUUGACGUCCGCUUUCCAUGCUAGCAUGGGCUGGACGAUUUGACUGGGGACUGGUAUAUAUUGUAAAAAUGGAAAAGCAGUUAAACAUUCCAGUGUAUAUAAUAAUAUUUUAAAAGUAACUGAGGCUAUGUUCCACAGUGAUCUCCAUACAACCAUUCCACUAUUUUAUUAUUCUGUCAGUUUUGUUGUUGAAGGGAGUCAUACCCGACUAAUGAUUAGACAACCAUCAUAGUACAGAUAUAUAUAUGUAUGUAUACACAUAAUUAAGGGAUCAGCAAGCAUUUGCUUCACCACUUCUUGUUUUUGCCUUUGUGAGUUACAAGUAAUGCUAUAUGUUGGAGUCUCAGCUUUUUUAGCUGCUAUUUCUGAACUUCGGUAUGUGGUGAAGCAAAUGUUUGCUGAUCCCUUAAUUAUGUUUAUAAAUGUAUAAGAACUUUUAAAUAAGUUUUCCACUGAUAAUGGUGUUUACAUACCGAAGGGCUUGGUAAAAAUUAUUAAUUGUUGAUUUAUUAAUAAAUUAAUAAAUUGAUAAACCUUUACCCUUUAAAUUUAUAUAUAUGUAUAUAUAUUACAUGUAAUAUAUGACAGUCUUCUCAAGCCUCACUUACAACUUUCAUGCUGAACAAAGAGAACAACACAAUACUAAAAAAAUCUACAUUCGAGGAACAUUAAAUCUUGAUAAACUUUGCUUUGGAUUUGCCUUAAAUAAAAAAAAAAGUAUUUUCUAUGA